UACGUAGGGUGCAAGCGUUAAUCGGAAUUACUGGGCGUAAAGCGUGCGCAGGCGGUUCUAUAAGACAGAUGUGAAAUCCCCGGGCUCAACCUGGGAACUGCAUUUGUGACUGUAGAGCUGGAGUGCGGCAGAGGGGGAUGGAAUUCCGCGUGUAGCAGAUGAAAUGCGUAGAUAUGCGGAGGAACACCGAUGGCGAAGGCAGCCCCCUGGGUUAACACUGACGCUCAGGCACGAAAGCGUGGGGAGCAAACAGG
rnacentral:rRNA from 1 species